AACGCACAUGGCACCUGACAGGACAUCUGUCAAGUAUACCUGUUUGAGCACUGGAGCAAAAGAUAGGGGCUUUGAGGCAGUCAUGCCUUGAGGCGUUUGAGUUGAGGCUCAGGCUGGGUGAAGGGGUGUUGGCAACAAGAUCAGCUCAUCCCAGUGUGUGCCUUUAAACGAGUAGUUUCAGGCCGAGGGCCGGUGUGAUAGCAGGACAGCGUCUUGACAUCGCAGGCACUCGGGGGACGAAGCUUUGUGGGGGGGAGGAUUGUGAGGGAGAGAUGAGUGCGGGAUGCGGCAAUUGGUUGCGUCCCGUGCUUCUUUAUCCCACCACUUCUCCUCAUCCCCCCAGUCAUCCAUCACCAGUCUCAAAUCAGGCAAGACUACCCGCUGAACUUAA
rnacentral:misc_RNA from 1 species